AUACGUAGGGGGCAAGCGUUGUCCGGAUUUACUGGGUAUAAAGGGAGCGCAGGCGGAUUCGUAAGUCAGGGGUGAAAUCCUACAGCUUAACUGUAGAACUGCCUUUGAUACUGCGAGUCUUGAGAUCGGAAGAGAGAGACGGGAUUCCAGGUGUAGUGGUGAAAUACGUAGAUAUCUGGAAGAACACCGAUGGCGAAGGCAGUCUCUUGGUCCGUAUCUGACGCUGAGGCUCGAAAGCGUGGGGAGCAAACAGGAUUAGAAACCCCAGUAGUCC
rnacentral:rRNA from 1 species